rnacentral:siRNA from 1 species
AUAUGGACUGCACCGCUGACGGA